rnacentral:rRNA from 1 species
UAUUGCACAAUGGGCGCAAGCCUGAUGCAGCGACGCCGCGUGGGGGAUGAAGGCCUUCGGGUUGUAAACUCCUUUCGCUAGGGACGAAGCCUUUCUUAAGGUGACGGUAGCUGGAUAAGCAGCACCGGCUAACUACGUGCCAGCAGCCGCGGUAAUACGUAGGGUGCAAGCGUUGUCCGGGAUUACUGGGCGUAAAGAGCUCGUAGGUGGUUUGUCGCGUCGUCUGUGGAAUUCCGGGGCUUGACUCCGGGCGUGCAGGCGAUACGGGCAUAACUUGAGUGCUGUAGGGGAGACUGGAAUUCCUGGUGUAGCGGUGAAAUGCGCAGAUAUCAGGAGGAACACCGAUGGCGAAGGCAGGUCUCUGGGCAGUAACUGACGCUGAGGAGCGAAAGCAUGGGUAGCAAACAGG